rnacentral:ncRNA from 1 species
AUAAAGUUUUUUUCUAGCUUAGUAUUUAUAUAUUUAAUUUAUUUUUAAAUGCAAAUUUUAGUAUAAAUUUUUAGAUAAAAUUAUUGCAGUAUAAAAAAUUAAAAAUUAAUGAAAAUUAGAUUUAGUAAUAAAAUUUAAUACUAACAAAUUUUGUGCCAGCAGUAGCGGUUAUACAAAAAGUGUGAUGUAAAUAGGUUGGUAAUAAUUAAUUUAUAGAUAAAAGUUUAAGUUAAAAUUUAUUAAGUGAAAUUUUAAAUUUUAAAAAAUUUUUUUAUUGUUAAUGAGGUUAAAAAAUUCAAUAUGAAACUAGGAUUAGAUACCCUAUUAUUAUGAACGUAAAUAAUUUACCUGAUUAGUAAAAGUUAUGGUCUCUAAAAUUAAAGAAUUUGGCGGUAUUUUAGUCUUUUCAGAGGAACCUGCCCUAUAAUUGAUAUUCCACGAUUUAAAUAACUUAUUUUUUUAAUUUGCAUAUCGUCGUAGAUUGAAUAUUUUUUUAGAAUAAUAAUAUUCAAGAUUUUUUAUGAAAAAUUAAAUCAGAUCAAGGUGUAGUUUAUAAAUAAGAAGAGGUGGGUUACAAUAAAAAUAUUUAAAUGGAAAUUUAAUUUAAAAUUGAAUUGAAGGUGGAUUUGAAAGUAAUUUUAAUGAAAUUAUUAAAAUGAUUUUAGCUCUAAAAUAUGCACAUAUCGCCCGUCAUUUUCAUUAUAAAAUGAAACAAGUCGUAACAUAGUAGGUGUACUGGAAAGUGUACCUAGACUGUC